GUUGUUAUUGCUGUUGCUGUUGAUAAACACUCAUUUAUUCCCUCUGCCAGAACGUGCGUGUUAAGUUGACUCUUCCUCAAUAGUUCCAAUUCCAUCAGAAAAUUACCCUCUCGCAAUGGCGCAAAUUUUGUUCGAAGUGACUCGCAACGCGGCCGCCACAAAGUUGGAGGAAACCGUCGACGGAACCACCAUCGGAGAUCUGAUCAAAUCGUUGAAAGCGGCCAAAGAGUCGUCGAACGCGACGCUCACCCAGCUGCUGGAGGACGAGAAAAACGCCCCCCAAAAAGAAACCGCCCCAAAGGAUGCCGAAGGUGACGAAGAGGACGAUGACGACUAGAACCGGAAUCGGAUAGUCGGAAACUAGUGACAUUCUCAUUCCUUGAAUCAUGUCUCAUGCCAAGAAACCUUGUUAACAAUACAGCUAUUUAUCGUAAAUUAUUGAAUUUGAAUAAUUUAUAUGUUUAUAUGCAUCCGUUUUCGAAAUAAACCAGCAUUUUUUUCAAAUUCAAAGCAA